rnacentral:rRNA from 1 species
GAUUAACGCUAGCGGCAGGCAUAAUACAUGCAAGUUGAACGGCAGCACAGGUAGCACUACUGGGUGGCGAGUGGCGCACGGGUGCGUAACACGUAUGCAACCUACCCUAUACAGGCGAAUAACCUUUAGAAAUGAGGGCUAAUACGCCGUAGUAUUACAGAUGGGCAUCUAUUUGUAAUUAAAGAUUUAUCGGUAUAGGAUGGGCAUGCGUCCCAUUAGUUAGUUGGUAAGGUAACGGCUUACCAAGACGAUGAUGGGUAGGGGAUCUGAGAGGACUUACCCCCACACUGGUACUGAGACACGGACCAGACUCCUACGGGAGGCAGCAGUAAGGAAUAUUGGGCAAUGGCCGCGAGGCUGACCCAGCCAUGCCGCGUGCAGGAAGACGGCCUUAUGGGUUGUAAACUGCUUUUAUACGGGAAUAAUAGAGUGUACGCGUACAUUUAUGCAAGUAUCGUAUGAAUAAGCAUCGGCUAACUCCGUG